AGGACAAACGCUGGCGGCGUGUAUUAGGCAUGCAAGUCGCACGGACACUUCGGUGUCAGUGGCGGACGGGUGAGUAACACGUGGGUAACCUGCCCUACAGUGGGGAAUAACUCGCCGAAAGGCGAGCUAAUACCGCAUUCUACUCCCGGUGAGAAUCCGGGUAGUGAAAGCAGUAAUGCGCUGAAGGAGGGGCCCGCGGCCGAUUAGCUUGUUGGUGGGGUAAUGGCCUACCAAGGCGACGAUCGGUAGCUGGUCUGAGAGGAUGGUCAGCCACACGGGGACUGAGAUACGGCCCCGACUCCGUACGGGAGGCAGCAGCUAAGAAUCUUGCGCAAUGGGCGAAAGCCUGACGCAGCAACGCCGCGUGGGGGACGAAGGCCGUUCGGGUACCGUAAACCCCGUUUUUGGCGGAGGGAAGAAGUUCUGACGGUACCGUCGACGAAUAACGCCACGGACCUAACGUACGUCGCCGAGACACGCCGC
rnacentral:rRNA from 1 species